rnacentral:lncRNA from 1 species
CAGUGUCUUGCAGAGAGGUCUUUGGAACCUGUGGGAGGCAGAUCUGGGAUUCCAGAGCUGGAUUCUCACUCUCUUGGGAUUACCAGCACCAACAGUUUCUGAAGGAUCUGGAAGAAAUUACAGGAGUGACAGUUGUGAGAGGGACGUACUCCAGAUUGGCGGGGCUGGUUUGUGCUUUGUUACCACAUUGCCUCCUCCUAGCAGAAUGGAUGUGCUGGUGGCAUUCCCGGAUUUCUCGAGCUCUCAUGCUAACUCUGGUAAGUGCAUAGAAAGGAAAUAAUGAGCAUCAUACAGGAAAUAGCAGUUUAGGGGUUUUGUUUUGUUCUUUUUGGUUUUUUUUUUGCAGAUCUGUGUUUCAGGCUGGAAAAUGCCUCUGUAGCCCACUUGGAUAAGGGUUAUAUUGCUUUUCCUGGUUCUUUAUUUGUUCCAUAUUCCUUUGUGUUGUAUCAAGCUGCCCAGCCUGUGCUUUUGGAGAGGAUUUGGUCCUGCCUGUGACACUGCAGGUCACACAGCAAAGCCUCCCAGUAAAGGAGCAUAACUGUCACAAGAACGUGUUUCCAGUGCACAGAAAAGAAACCCAGUAGAAAAGUGACAUGAUAAAAGAUAAGCUGUGCUAAAUAAAGAUGUUUUCUGUGUCUCA